AAAAAUUGACUGCCAUAAUUGUUGUAGGUGAUGUAGGCUGCUUUCUGUCUUUAUGCUAAUGCAGGUUUGACCAGAGAGAACAAAAAUUGAGUUUAAGAGGUCAGAAUAACUCGGUCAGCAAGCAAGGUGGUGGUCGAGCGAAGUAUUUUUAGUGACCCAAAUACAGCUUUGUUUCUAUUUUUUUUAUAUAUAAAUAUUUUGAACUAGUUGAAUAAAGGAAGACUAUAUUAAAAUAUUUUUCAAAAAUAUUUAUGUCAUGGUUUAAAAGUGAACUUAUAUUGGUUUCUAUAAAAAUUAAGCUUUUUAUGAAAUACCAAACAUCCGAGAAUUUAUUGGCUUAACGCAGAUAAGGUGUUCUAUAACAUUAACAGUGUUCUGUGUUUGAUAAUAAUGAUGAAUAAAAAAAAUUCAACUAUAAAUUCUCUACUUACUUUUAAUCAAUAAUAUAAAUAUAACCUUUAAUGUGGGUCUAUAAACAAGAAACAUUUUAAAUUUCCUUUUAUCGAUUAUGAUUCUAUCUCUAUUUGGCAUUUAAAAAAGUACGAACUUUUGUGGUUUAUAAAUAUUUUAACAACAGACGUAACGUCAAUACUAAGUUUAAUGACAUUUAUUAGAAUUAUUAUCUGUCGCCAAAAUGGGUGAGAACGUGAAAGUGGUUGUUCGCUGCCGUCCUAUGAACAAGAAAGAAAUUGACAUUAAUUGUAAAGAAAUAGUAAAAGUGGAUGAUUGUUCAGUUACUAUAAGAAAUCCUUCUGAUUACACCGCACCAGCUAAGACCUUUACAUUUGACAAUGCAUAUGCGUCUAACGCACCCACUGAAGCUCUCUACAAUGACAUUUGUUAUACUUUGGUUGAAAAUGUCCUUGAAGGAUACAACGGAACGAUUUUUGCCUAUGGUCAGACAGGAUGCGGUAAAUCACAUACAAUGCAGGGACCGGAAAAUAUAGCUGCUGAUCUUUUGUCUAACCAACGUGGAAUUAUAUCCCGAUCAUUUGAUCAUAUAUUUGAAGCCAUUUCCGUCGUAACCGGAGUUCAAUUUUUGGCGCUAGUUACCUAUUUGGAAAUUUAUAAUGAAAGUAUACGGGAUCUUUUAGCUCCUAAUGAAAAUGUUCAUACAAAUCAUGCCUUGAAAGAAAUUCCCGGUGAAGGGAUAUCAGUUCCUAGUUUGUCAACGCAUACAGUUCACAAUGCCAAAGAAUGUGAUGAAUUGUUACACAUUGGAGGGAAAAAUCGAAUGGUUGGGGCAACUCUUAUGAACGCUGGUAGUUCAAGAUCACAUUCGAUUUUUACAAUUAGUUUGGAACAAAUGGAAACAUCAUCAAUAGAAGGUAGUGAAAGAAAGCCUGGAAUUCGUAAGGGAAAGCUUAAUUUAGUGGAUUUGGCUGGUUCGGAACGACAAAAUAAGACUCAAGCAUCUGGUGAUAGACUUAAAGAGGCAACUAAGAUAAAUUUAUCGUUGUCAGCUUUAGGUAAUGUCAUUUCAGCCCUUGUAGAUGGAAAGACUAAGCACAUACCUUACAGAGACUCAAAGCUGACAAGACUUCUUCAAGAUUCACUUGGAGGAAAUACAAAGACGCUAAUGAUUGCUUGCAUAUCACCGGCAGACUAUAACUACGAUGAGACUUUGUCAACACUCCGAUAUGCUUCUAGAGCUAAGAAUAUAUCAAAUAAGCCAAAGAUCAAUGAAGACCCAAAAGAAGCCUUGCUACGAAAUUACCAAGAAGAGAUAAUCAAAUUAAAAAGGAUGCUUGAAUCGAGUCAAACGGGAACACAGCCAAAUUUGUCUAUGGAAGACAACACAAGAUGGCUAGAAACUGAAAAGGCUAAAAUCCAACAAGAGUAUGAAAAUAAAACAAAGUGUCUGAGGGAAGUCCAUGCAGCUCAGCAAAGGGAAAAAGAAGAACUAGUACGGGACAUGGAACGUUUGAAAACUCAUUACGACAACCAACUAAAAGACCUUACCAGAGUUGAAACUAACAACAAUAUCUUGGAAUUGAGUAAUCUCAAUGAACCUCGUUUAUCAAUUUCUUCUGCAUCCAAUGAAAUCCAACUUGAAGUUCAAAAUCGUAUUGAAAUGAUCAAAAAAGCUCUUAUAGGUGGUGAACGCGCAAAUGACAUCCAGCUCAAGGAGAAACGACAUAAGAAAAAACUUGCUGCUCAGGGAAGAUUGAGUGCAUUAGCUCAUGCACUUAGCCGUGUUGAGCAGUCUGACGAUAGGAUUCUGCUGCAAGGGCAUUACAGCAAUAUUCAACAAGAACUUAAGAUCAAAAACGAAUCGCUCAAAAACUAUCGUCAAAAAAUUAAAGCUUUGGAACGGGAAGUUUCUGAUUUGCAGUCGGAGUUUCAGUUAGAUCGGGCUGAUUACUUAGAAACUAUUCGACGAUUAGAGAGGAACAUGAAAUUUUACCAACAAAUCAUAGAAAUGGCAUUGCCUAUUUUAAGAAAAGAUGGGAAAUAUUGGGAUCCUGAUGAAAUUAUGAGAUCUUCUACAUGGAAUGAUGAUCUCAAAAACUGGAAACUUCCCGAAAAUUCAAUGAAUAGUUUUAAGCUACCAUUGGCUGUUUCGGCACCCUGUUCUCAAACCCAACAAUUUUUGACAGAUAAUGAAAGCAAAGACAGUAAUGGAUCCGGAGAUGAACAGAAAUUUGACAGUUUGACAGAUAAUGAUGACAUCGUUAGUAACUACUUUCGGCCACGCCGCAAUAUCGAACUCGCACAUCAGAGAAAAGGUUUUAGUAAUUGGAGAGAUUUUACAAAACGCAACAGACGUUUACAGCUGCAACCACCAAUGUUACCACACAAUUUAGCGAUGAAUACCAACAAAUAUUUCAAUAGAUCGAAUUGGAUGAGCUUGAGUUCAGCUGCUAGUAGCACCAACAACAAUAAUGUCUUAUCAUCUUGGCUGCCGCAGAAUCAUAAAUCAAUGAGUAAAACAUGGUGCGCAUUAACCGGGCAAUCCCCACUGGUUAAUUCAAUUUCAUCAAAUGGAGAAGAUGCUGGUACAUAGCCUCAUUUUUGAAUAGCGUACGCCAAUGAAGUUCAAACUAUGUUUUGAUGCUUCCUUGUUAAUAUAGAUGGAUUUCCAUUGCAGCAGUCACAAUUCACUCCUAAGUUUUCACCAAAUUCAAAAACCAGUGUAAGACUUUAUCCAAUACCAUUUGAACCGGCUAAGGAAUAAUAUUGAACUAUUUUUUCGGUGGCCUAAGGAACAAUCAAAACAAUAUUGUAUAAGAUAAAUAGAUCUCAACGGGAGCACACAUGUUUUCUGUAUUACUUCGUAUGUUUUUGUAGGAAUAAAUUGAAAUAUUAAAAAUAUAUAUUUUUAAAACUGUUCUAAAA